rnacentral:rRNA from 1 species
AGGUAAUGGCUCACCAGCGACGACGGGGUAGCCGCUGAAGAGGGGUGACCGCACCACUGGGACUGAGAACACGGCCCCAGACUCUACGGGAGGGCAGCAGUGGGGAAUAUUGCACAAUUGGGCGCAAGCUGAUGCAGCGACGCCGCAUGAGGGAUGACGGGCUUCGGGUUGUAAACCUCUUUCAGUAGGGAAGAAGCGAAAGUGACGGUACCUGCAGAAGAAGCGCCGGGCUAACUACGUGCCAGCAGCCGCGGUAAUACGUAGGGCGCGAGCGUUAUCCGGAAUUAUUGGGCGUAAAGAGCGCGUAGGCGGUUUGUCGCGUCUGCCGUGAAAGUCCGGGGCUUAACCCCGGAUCUGCGGUGGGUACGGGCAGACUAGAGUGCAGUAGGGGAGACUGGAAUUCCUGGUGUAGCGGUGAAAUGCGCAGAUAUCAGGAGGAACACCGAUGGCGAAGGCAGGUCUCUGGGCUGUAACUGACGCUGAGGAGCGAAAGCAUGGGGAGCGAACAGGAUUAGAUACCCUGGUAGUCCAUGCCGUAAACGUUGGGCACUAGGUGUGGGGGACAUUUCCACGUUUUCCGCGCCGUAGCUAACGCAUUAAGUGCCCCGCCUGGGGAGUACGGCCGCAAGGCUAAAACUCAAAGGAAUUGACGGGGGCCCGCACAAGCGGCGGAGCAUGCGGAUUAAUUCGAUGCAACGCGAAGAACCUUACCAAGGCUUGACAUGUUCCUGACCGCCGUAGAGAUACGGUUUCCCCUUUGGGGCAGGUUCACAGGUGGUGCAUGGUUGUCGUCAGCUCGUGUCGUGAGAUGUUGGGUUAAGUCCCGCAACGAGCGCAACCCUCGUUCCAUGUUGCCAGCACGUAGUGGUGGGGACUCAUGGGAGACUGCCGGGGUCAACUCGGAGGAAGGUGGGGACGACGUCAAAUCAUCAUGCCCCUUAUGUCUUGGGCUUCACGCAUGCUACAAUGGCCGGUACAAUGGGUUGCGAUACUGUGAGGUGGAGCUAAUCCCAAAAAGCCGGUCUCAGUUCGGAUUGGGGUCUGCAACUCGACCCCAUGAAGUCGGAG